rnacentral:rRNA from 1 species
GCGGCAGCACGGGUACUUGUACCUGGUGGCGAGCGGCGGACGGGUGAGUAAUGCCUAGGAAUCUGCCUGGUAGUGGGGGAUAACGUUCGGAAACGAACGCUAAUACCGCAUACGUCCUACGGGAGAAAGCAGGGGACCUUCGGGCCUUGCGCUAUCAGAUGAGCCUAGGUCGGAUUAGCUAGUUGGUGAGGUAAUGGCUCACCAAGGCGACGAUCCGUAACUGGUCUGAGAGGAUGAUCAGUCACACUGGAACUGAGACACGGUCCAGACUCCUACGGGAGGCAGCAGUGGGGAAUAUUGGACAAUGGGCGAAAGCCUGAUCCAGCCAUGCCGCGUGUGUGAAGAAGGUCUUCGGAUUGUAAAGCACUUUAAGUUGGGAGGAAGGGCAGUUACCUAAUACGUAAUUGUUUUGACGUUACCGACAGAAUAAGCACCGGCUAACUCUGUGCCAGCAGCCGCGGUAAUACAGAGGGUGCAAGCGUUAAUCGGAAUUACUGGGCGUAAAGCGCGCGUAGGUGGUUCGUUAAGUUGGAUGUGAAAUCCCCGGGCUCAACCUGGGAACUGCAUUCAAAACUGUCGAGCUAGAGUAUGGUAGAGGGUGGUGGAAUUUCCUGUGUAGCGGUGAAAAUGCGUAGAUAUAGGAAGGAACACCAGUGGCGAA